rnacentral:RNase_P_RNA from 1 species
GUAGGUUAUUGGAUAGUCGCUGAAAAAAUCAGAGGAAAGUCCGGGCUCCACAAGACAAUGAUGCCGGGUAACACCCGGCUAGAAUUUAUUCUAAGGGAAAGUGCAACAGAAAAAAUACCGCCAAUAAUUGGUAAGGUUGAAAUGGUGAGGUAAGAGCUCACCGCAAUUAUGGCAACAUAAUUGGCUAUGUAAACCCCAUCAGGAGCAAAACCAUAUAGAGGUGAGAGCUUUUAAAGCUGAAUGUCUUGAUAAAUCACCUGGGUAGGUUGCUUGAAAUUAUUAGUAAUAAUGAUUCCAGAUGAAUGACUAUCGUUAAUAGCAUUAUUAAUACAGAACCCGGCUUAUAGAUAACUUACCAUU